CCUGCACUGUUCCGCUCCUUUUGGAUUCCGGUAGGAAACGGAGACCAAUCAUUAUGUUCCUGGGUCUUUGGCUGGCUCGAUCCUGCUGCUUCCUUUUUGGAUGGAGUGGAUAUCGAGGUUCCAUAAAGAUGCAGACCGGAGAAAGUGAACAGGAUGAACAACUGAGCUGACUGGAGCCGUAGAGAACUAACAGAACUCCCUGUCCUGCCCUUCGCCACCUAAACAGUGCCAGCUUUUGAAGACACCUACGUCUACAGUGAGCUCUACUAGUCUCUGCUGAAUCUGCCUCCUCAUGUUUGUUCUAUGGGAGAAUUUACAAUCAACUUUGAACAUUCCUUAAUGAUGAACCUGAAAGUAAACUUAGGAACUGUGAUAACAUAAGGGGCUCA
rnacentral:lncRNA from 1 species